rnacentral:lncRNA from 1 species
CAGUUAUAAAUAUUCUUUUUAUCCACGAACAAUUAUAAAUUGGAACUAUCUGCAACAACAAAUAGUAUCAUGCAGUACAGUAGAGGGAUUUAAGAGUAUGAUCACAGAAUCUGCUCUCAUCCCCAUAUUCUAUCCCUAACUAUUCUGUUAUCAAAUGUAUAUAGUUUUAUCAAAAUUUAUUUUUUUGAAUGUACAUACGUUAUUUUGUUUUUUCUUGAUUUUGUUAUUUUUUAUUUUUUCCUGCUAAAAUGUAAAUUAUAAAAUUUUAUAGUCGACGCCCGGCGAAUAAUCUUCAAUAAUUGAAGGAUCGCUAGAAACCUAAAGAAG